rnacentral:rRNA from 1 species
GAUGAACGCUGGCGGCGUGCCUAAUACAUGCGAGUCGAGCGAACAGACGAGGAGCUUGCUCCUCUGACGUUAGCGGCGGACGGGUGAGUAACACGUGGAUAACCUACCUAUAAGACUGGGAUAACUUCGGGAAACCGGAGCUAAUACCGGAUAAUAUAUUGAACCGCAUGGUUCAAUAGUGAAAGACGGUUUUGCUGUCACUUAUAGAUGGAUCCGCGCCGCAUUAGCUAGUUGGUAAGGUAACGGCUUACCAAGGCAACGAUGCGUAGCCGACCUGAGAGGGUGAUCGGCCACACUGGAACUGAGACACGGUCCAGACUCCUACGGGAGGCAGCAGUAGGGAAUCUUCCGCAAUGGGCGAAAGCCUGACGGAGCAACGCCGCGUGAGUGAUGAAGGUCUUCGGAUCGUAAAACUCUGUUAUUAGGGAAGAACAAAUGUGUAAGUAGCUAUGCACGUCUUGACGGUACCUAAUCAGAAAGCCACGGCUAACUACGUG